GAAGGUGUGCUGUGAGGCAUGCUGGAGGUAUCAGAAGUGCGAAUGCUGACAUAAGUAACGAUAAAGCGGGUGAAAAGCCCGCUCGCCGGAAGACCAAGGGUUCCUGUCCAACGUUAAUCGGGGCAGGGUGAGUCGACCCCUAAGGCGAGGCCGAAAGGCGUAGUCGAUGGGAAACAGGUUAAUAUUCCUGUACUUGGUGUUACUGCGAAGGGGGGACGGAGAAGGCUAUGUUGGCCGGGCGACGGUUGUCCCGGUUUAAGCGUGUAGGUGUGUGUUCCAGGUAAAUCCGGUUCACUCUAACACUGAGGCGUGAUGACGAGGCACUACGGUGCUGAAGUAACAAAUGCCCUGCUUCCAGGAAAAGCCUCUAAGCAUCAGGUAACAUCAAAUCGUACCCCAAACCGACACAGGUGGUCAGGUAGAGAAUACCAAGGCGCUUGAGAGAACUCGGGUGAAGGAACUAGGCAAAAUGGUGCCGUAACUUCGGGAGAAGGCACGCUGAUAUGUAGGUGAAGUGAUUUACUCAUGGAGCUGAAAUCAGUCGAAGAUACCAGCUGGCUGCAACUGUUUAUUAAAAACACAGCACUGUGCAAACACGAAAGUGGACGUAUACGGUGUGACGCCUGCCCGGUGCCGGAAGGUUAAUUGAUGGGGUUAUCCUUAGGGAGAAGCUCUUGAUCGAAGCCCCGGUAAACGGCGGCCGUAACUAUAACGGUCCUAAGGUAGCGAAAUUCCUUGUCGGGUAAGUUCCGACCUGCACGAAUGGCGUAAUGAUGGCCAGGCUGUCUCCACCCGAGACUCAGUGAAAUUGAACUCGCUGUGAAGAUGCAGUGUACCCGCGGCAAGACGGAAAGACCCCGUGAACCUUUACUAUAGCUUGACACUGAACACUGGUCCUUGAUGUGUAGGAUAGGUGGGAGGCUUUGAAGUGUGGACGCCAGUCUGCAUGGAGCCAACCUUGAAAUACCACCCUUUAAUGGCUGGUGUUCUAACGUGGGCCCGUAAUCCGGGUUGCGGACAGUGUCUGGUGGGUAGUUUGACUGGGGCGGUCUCCUCCUAAAGAGUAACGGAGGAGCACGAAGGUUAGCUAAUCCUGGUCGGACAUCAGGAGGUUAGUGCAAAGGCAUAAGCUAGCUUGACUGCGAGCGUGACGGCGCGAGCAGGUGCGAAAGCAGGUCUUAGUGAUCCGGUGGUUCUGAAUGGAAGGGCCAUCGCUCAACGGAUAAAAGGUACUCCGGGGAUAACAGGCUGAUACCGCCCAAGAGUUCAUAUCGACGGCGGUGUUUGGCACCUCGAUGUCGGCUCAUCACAUCCUGGGGCUGAAGUAGGUCCCAAGGGUAUGGCUGUUCGCCAUUUAAAGUGGUACGCGAGCUGGGUUUAGAACGUCGUGAGACAGUUCGGUCCCUAUCUGCCGUGGGCGCUGGAGAAUUGAGGGGGGCUGCUCCUAGUACGAGAGGACCGGAGUGGACGCAUCACUGGUGUUCGGGUUGUCAUGCCAAUGGCACUGCCCGGUAGCUAAAUGCGGAAAAGAUAAGUGCUGAAAGCAUCUAAGCACGAAACUUGCCCCGAGAUGAGUUCUCCCUGACCCUUUAAGGGUCCUGAAGGAACGUUGAAGACGACGACGUUGAUAGGCCGGGUGUGUAAGCGCAGCGAUGCGUUGAGCUAACCGGUACUAAUGAACCGUGAGGCUUAACCUUACAACGCCGAAG
rnacentral:rRNA from 1 species